CCCCCGCACAUUGACUCUGUACUCGUACCCCACUUUUAUUUCUUAUUCUUAUGGUGUGUGUAGUUUUAGGACUGUAUGCCUUCAUCUUGAAUAAUAUUUCAACAAAGGCCUAUGCUGCUGGAGUCACCCUGUAUCACAUCUGAGACCAAAACACACAUCAUGAUACACCCUUCAAAGAAACAGAAUACCCCUCUUCCUCUAUUUAACCCCUUCCUCUUCCUCUCCAGUUCUACACUACAUCCCACUGUGUAGCAGGCCUGUAUAAAGUCGCUAUUUCAUCUGAAAACGGCAGCAGCGUCCGUUCGGCCACUUUGAUAAAACGAGGCGACCGUCACACUGUUUAUUGUUCUCCUAAUGUAUUACUGAAGGCCCUGAGAGAGGAAUGCUUUUAUGCUGCUUUGGCUGGCACGCCCCAGCGCAACACUUACAUUGUCAAUUAGAUGUAUACACUGCGUCUGGGCUUGCUCACCUUUUGUAAAAGUGACACUUUUGAUAAAUAGUUCUGCGUGUCCGGAGAACCUAUUUAAACUAUAGGCGUUGCCCUAUAUUUGAAAGACUAACUAGUCUUUCAAAUAUAACGUCGGAGUGGGUAAAUGCAUUUUUGAGAAGUUGAACUAAUGGGAUUAUUAUUAAUAGAUUCUGGCUGGACGGGGCUUGAGGAAAGGAGACCGGACAGCGUUUGUUUGAGGCUUCUCUCUCUCUUUCUCUCUUUCUCUCUAUCGAAAGACCGAGGUCCACACCAGAUGGAUGAUGUUGGGGAAUUUUCCAAUUUACUCUCAAACUGGGCAGAGGAGGAGCUAGACAGAUGUGAUAGAUAGAUGGAACGUGAAGGGAGGGAGCUGUGUGUCAGGCACGGGAUUAAAUAAUACAAGGUAGUGGGUUUCCAGGCCGGCAUACGUUGUUGUGAAAAUCAAACCCACUUCUGAAAACCCAAUCACUAAAGCCACUACCUGCUAUGGAUUAAAUAUAGGCUGGAAUGCAUCAUAGUUGAGUGGUAGCCGAGCUGAAAUUGGUCUGGAGUCUAGUAGGUGGAGUGCUGUUGGUCUGGAGUCUAGUAGGUGGAGUGCUGUUGGUCUGGAGUCUAGUAGGUGGAGUGCUGUUGGUCUAGAGUCUAGUAGGUGGAGUGCUGUUGGUCUAGAGUCUAGUAGGUGGAGUGCUGUUGGUCUAGAGUCUAGUAGGUGGAGUGCUGUUGGUCUAGAGUCUAGUAGGUGGAGUGCUG